AAAUGACCUGGUAGAAAUUGAAGAUAUAUAACUGAUCAUCCGAGUAGUGAGAAACAACAACAUAUCACAGCAAUGAAGACAUAGAGAGAUCUGAAAUAACAGUUGCCUCAACGUUCUGAAGAAACCUCUAGAAUCAAGAGGACCAAUGACCAUUGUGGAGG